rnacentral:misc_RNA from 1 species
UUUCCGUAGGUGAACCUGCGGAAGGAUCAUUAUUGUAUACCCGAGGUGCGAGGGCUGUCGCUGACCCGAAAGGUCGUGCACGCCCGAGUGCCCUCACACACCCCCAUCCCACCCCUUGGUGCACCACCGCGCGGGUCCCCCUUUGGCUUGGUCGGAGGGGGGCUUACGUCUUCACACAAAAUUUGUAUGCAGUGUAGAAUGUAUUUUUUGUUUUUGCGUUCACGCAAUCAAUACAACUUUCAACAACGGAUCUCUUGGCUCUC